ACCAUAACUAUCUAGGUGUGUUACCAUAUUCGACUUUAGUUAAUAUCAUUUGAUCCCGGUCUUUUGGUCUUUUUGCAGGAAUUUUUUUCUAAUUUAAUGUUUCAUCUUGGUCAAUAUUAUUUGAUUGCGGUUUUUGUUCUAUUCGACUUCAGGAAAUUUGUCGGUUCGGGUCUCAGCUAAUAGUUCAGAUGGAAAUUUGACUGGUGGCUUGAAGCACUGCAGCAUUGGUUUGUGGUUGAUGAAAGGGUUUUUAGGUAAUUUAUGAUGCUUUUAAUUUACUGUUUGAGAGGAAAUUUAGUGGGUUAGCUGUAGUUUUCCCUUUGAUGUUCACAUCAGAUAUGUAGUUGUUAAAGUGCAUAGCUCGUGGGCUGAUUUUCGUGACUAUUUUAAGCAACAGGUGAUUUGAAUAUUCAAGCUUUCGGUUUAAACAUCUUUAGUAACAUGUUAUUUAAUAACUUAAGUUAUAUGUAAUGUACGGAGUAGGGAGAAAAGGUUACUCGCAUUUACCAUAAGGGGGACAAACAUACAUUUUGAUUUUUCAUACAAGAGAGGAGAGUGGCUCGUGUUUGGGUCCGAAACCAGUGAGCUACCACCCGAGGCUUUGAAUGAGUGCAAAAAUGAGCCGUUUGGUGGUAGGACGCUUAAAAUUCCAAAGGUUGAAGUCGUGGAGGCGGGUUUCUUUUCUUUGGAGACGAUAUAUAUUAUCCUUCACGUGUUGUAUCAACUCCUAUGUCACAAGCUUAUAGAAAACACUACUCACCUGGGUAUGGAGAAGUCAUUUAUGGUGGAAAACCAACUAGGCUUAAGAAUCUACUUGUAAUAUUUGACAGUGGAAAUUCAUUUACAUACCUAAGUUCUUAGGCUUAUGAAGGCUUACUUUAUUUGUCGGGUAACAGGUUGGAGAUUAUUCCGAACACAACUCAGACUUAUUCGUGUCAAAACAUCAACUCUGUCUCGCACAGACUUAAAAUCAUUAACUCGAACACCAAGUGUGUAGCCCAUUUAUCUAAACG